GACGAACGCUGGCGGCGUGCUUAACACAUGCAAGUCGAACGGAAAGGCCCAGCUUGCUGGGUGCUCGAGUGGCGAACGGGUGAGUAACACGUGGGUGAUCUGCCCCUAACUUCGGGAUAAGCUUGGGAAACUGGGUCUAAUACCGGAUAGGACAAUCGUUUAGUGUCGGUUGUGGAAAGUUUUUUCGGUUAGGGAUGAGCCCGCGGCCUAUCAGCUUGUUGGUGGGGUAAUGGCCUACCAAGGCGUCGACGGGUAGCCGGCCUGAGAGGGUGGACGGCCACAUUGGGACUGAGGUACGGCCCAGACGCCUACGGGAGGCAGCAGUGGGGAAUAUUGCACAAUGGGCGCAAGCCGGAUGCAGCGACGCCGCGUGGGGGAUGACGGCCUUCGGGUGGUAAACCUCUUUCGACAGGGACGAAGCUUUGGUGACGGUACCUGUAUAAGAAGCACCGGCGAACUACGU
rnacentral:rRNA from 1 species